AUUCACUCGUCUUCCGAAGAGGACGCCUCUUCAGCCUGCUGGAGCCAAUCCGUGAAAGGCUUCACUUGAGUAUGAAGAUUUGACGCUACUUUGACAGUUGAGAACCAAUCCAAUAUGGCGUCCUCGGUUUUCAUGCGAAUUGAACACAUCCUAAAAAUCCGAAUUAAAUACUUGAAUUUCGCUCCCAAACAAAACUCAACCGUACCUCAACAGCCUGAAGACAGUCGAUCAUGGCACUUUCGUUUUUUAUGUAAUUCCUCAAAACCGGUGCGAAAUACGACAGCAUUUGGCUCAACUGAGUGAAAUAUUUUUCGCCACCCGAAAUCGACAUUUGGGGAAAGUGGAGCCAUAAAAUUAACGUCCGAGGUGACUAAAGCACCGUAUGCCACAGUAUGUGACAUAGUUGUGAAUAGUAUGGCCCCCUAAUACUGAGGCGGUUGAUAUAUGAUGCGUAUCAGAAGAAUAUUGUUUUAACAAUUAAAACUAUAUAUGAAGAGUUGCGUAGUGUUUUGAACAUCGACUGUUGCCAAGAGACUUUGAGUGUGUUUGUACGAACAAUUGGUUUUUAUAACAAAACCAUCACUAAGAGGCAAGUUAUGAUGGAAUCAAGAAUAAUUUCGGAGUGCAAGACAAGAUAUUUGCGAGAAAUUCAAGAAAUUCGUGCUAAAAACGUCCUCAUCAUAUAUUUAGAUGAGAAUUAAUUAUUAAUGUGGGAGACGAGUCCAGUGACGAUAGUGAUUAUUUUCAUGUAGGAAAACAUUUUUUUUAAUAAAGAUUCUAACAUUGUUUCAUGGCUAAGUUUACUCCGAAACAUUUUAAAGUAAGAAUGGAUUUUUCACUGCAUGGACUAACAAUAAUCGAGGAAUCUCUCCGACGAAAUUCUCCACAAAUCCGUCACUUUCUGCAUUUCUGUGCACGAAGUACAUUCUUGAACGUUAUUGUGGAAUUAGGAAUCUAUUAGGGGUCACAAAGAGAAACCCAGUGAGGUAGGCCUGCGGUUAAACCCUUCAUAAAAAUCUACCAAAGCUAAAUACAGGAUUACGUCGUAAAAAUGGUAGAUCGUUAAGCGAACUAUACAUUUGAAUGUGUGGGCCGCAUAAAUGGCCGCUGCUUUUCUAAUUUUUGGAUAAUUUAAUUAUUUUUGCAAAAGUCAUUUUUACUUGGUGGUGGUUUUGUCGAAUUGAUAUUAAGGUGCGGUAAAAAUAUGUAGGUAUUUUUUCAUUAGAAAUUAUUUCUGCGGUAAAGACAAAGGAAAUAAUUUUCGUCCACAUUUCUUUCUUUUGUCUUGAAAAUUUCUUUCAAAACCGUACUUCUUUUAUUACUAGUUAUUUAAAAGGUGUCC